rnacentral:rRNA from 1 species
AAUGAACGUUGGCGGCGUGGAUUAGGCAUGCAAGUCGCGCGGGAUCUUGUUGAUUGAAACUUCGGUUGAUUGAUUCAAGUGAGAGCGGCGAAAGGGAGAGUAACGCGUGGAUAUCUGCCCUCGGCUCCAGGAUAGCGUUGGGAAACUGGCGGUAAUACUGGAUAAUAUCUCCGGAUCAAAGGUGUGAUUCCGGCCGAGGAUGAGUCCGCGUCCUAUUAGAUUGUUGGGGGUAAUGGCCUACCAAGUCGAAGAUGGGUACCGGUGUGAGAGCAUGGCCCGGCUCACUGGGACUGAGACACUGCCCAGACGUCUACGGACGGCUGCAGUCGAGAAUCUUCCGCAAUGGACGAAAGUCUGACGAGCGACGCCGCGUGCGGGAUGAAGGCCCUCGGGUUGUAAACCGCUGUCAGUUGGGAGGAAAUGCUAUGGGGUUCUCUCCAUAGUUUGACCGAUCUUCAGAGGAAGUACGGGCUAAGUACGUGCCAGCCGCC